UUGGAACUCUCGACCCGAAAACAAAAACCGAGACCCGACACCUUGACCUAAUCAGCGCUCCACGUUCAGGCCGCCUCCGGUCGGCACACUGGAACCAUCCACUUCGUCUCGCUUUCGCCUACAUCCCAGUGGCCUAUGAUCGUCCAUGCAUCGAUAGUGAACGAAGAACAGACGACUGGAAACUCCGAGUUUUCUCCAACGAAUUUCAGCGAUCUCUGGCGACUCCGGCCUCCUUUUAGGCUGCAUGUGGUUUCCGGCAGCCGUUUGGGUGUCUUCAACUCGUUUUCCGAUGGUCAUUGUGGUCCUAGAACUCGGAAGCAUGGCUGGUUGAGCUGAAAUCAUUGGUCGGGCUAAGUUGAUAGUUUUGGGUACGUUCUGUAGUACGUAGUGCGAUCACAUUCGUGGUGGCAGUUUUGAUUUUUCUGGUAACUCCUCCUCUUCGAUUUGUGUUGUGAAUUAGGAAUCCAUACCUAGUCUUGUUUGUAAACACAGAAUUCGUAAGUUUGGAAACUGACGAGCGAAAGGAAGAGUCCUCGAACUGUCGUGUGUUUGGUUGAGAAGCGAGUUAGAGGGUUGAUCCUGCUUUUGGACAAAAUUAUUAUCAAAGGUAAACUCAAAGUCUCUGAAGUUUUCAAACCUUGGUUGAUGUUGGUGCAGUUGAGAAAAUGAUUUGGAAAAGGUUGCUUAUGUUGUAUGUUGAUCAUAAGUUGCAUUAGAGAAUGGUAAUUUGAGUUUGUUUCA